rnacentral:rRNA from 1 species
CAGUCGCCGCGGUAAUACGAAGGGGGCUAGCGUUGCUCGGAAUGACUGGGCGUAAAGGGCGCGUAGGCGGAUCACGCAGUCAGAUGUGAAAUUCCUGGGCUUAACCUGGGGGCUGCAUUUGAGACGCGUGGUCUAGAGUGUGAAAGAGGGUCGUGGAAUUCCCAGUGUAGAGGUGAAAUUCGUAGAUAUUGGGAAGAACACCGGUGGCGAAGGCGGCGACCUGGUUCAUGACUGACGCUGAGGCGCGAAAGCGUGGGGAGCAAACAGGAUUAGAGACCCCCGUAGUCCCUGUCUCUUAUAC